GAUGAACGCUGGCGGCGUGCCUAAUACAUGCAAGUCGAGCGAACAGACGAGGAGCUUGCUCCUCUGACGUUAGCGGCGGACGGGUGAGUAACACGUGGAUAACCUACCUAUAAGACUGGGAUAACUUCGGGAAACCGGAGCUAAUACCGGAUAAUAUAUUGAACCGCAUGGUUCAAUAGUGAAAGACGGUUUUGCUGUCACUUAUAGAUGGAUCCGCGCCGCAUUAGCUAGUUGGUAAGGUAACGGCUUACCAAGGCAACGAUGCGUAGCCGACCUGAGAGGGUGAUCGGCCACACUGGAACUGAGACACGGUCCAGACUCCUACGGGAGGCAGCAGUAGGGAAUUUUCCGCAAUGGGCGAAAGCCUGACGGAGCAACGCCGCGUGAGUGAUGAAGGUCUUCGGAUCGUAAAACUCUGUUAUUAGGGAAGAAAAAAUGUGUAAGUAAAUAUGCACGUCUUGACGGUACCUAAUCAGAAAGCCACGGCUAACUACGUG
rnacentral:rRNA from 1 species